CUGCAUUCACCUCCAGCUUCGUGACCACCCCCGCUCAGCCCAGGUAUCCCUCAGCUUCUGGCUAUGAAUCGGAUCCCACCACAUCAAGCAAAGCCUUCCUGUUUGUGAAGGAGUCCAUCAACAGCACAGAACUGUCUUCCUCACCACGCUACAACAGCCGCAGCUUGGUUGACUUGUCUACACUGGAGAGAUCAAACUACGGCGGCGUCAGCUACAU